rnacentral:rRNA from 1 species
GAGUAACGCGUAGGUAACCUGCCUACUAGCGGGGGUUAACUAUUGGAAACGAUAGCUAAUACCGCAUAACAGCAUUUAACACAUGUUAGAUGCUUGAAAGGAGCAAUUGCUUCACUAGUAGAUGGACCUGCGUUGUAUUAGCUAGUUGGUGAGGUAACGGCUCACCAAGGCGACGAUACAUAGCCGACCUGAGAGGGUGAUCGGCCACACUGGGACUGAGACACGGCCCAGACUCCUACGGGAGGCAGCAGUAGGGAAUCUUCGGCAAUGGGGGCAACCCUGACCGAGCAACGCCGCGUGAGUGAAGAAGGUUUUCGGAUCGUAAAGCUCUGUUGUAAGAGAAGAACGUGUGUGAGAGUGGAAAGUUCACACAGUGACGGUAACUUACCAGAAAGGGACGGCUAACUACGUGCCAGCAGCCGCGGUAAUACGUAGGUCCCGAGCGUUGUCCGGAUUUAUUGGGCGUAAAGCGAGCGCAGGCGGUUUAAUAAGUCUGA